rnacentral:rRNA from 1 species
UGGGGAAUAUUGCACAAUGGGCGCAAGCCUGAUGCAGCCAUGCCGCGUGUGUGAAGAAGGCCUUCGGGUUGUAAAGCACUUUCAGCGGGGAGGAAGGCGAUAAGGUUAAUAACCUUGUCGAUUGACGUUACCCGCAGAAGAAGCACCGGCUAACUCCGUGCCAGCAGCCGCGGUAAUACGGAGGGUGCAAGCGUUAAUCGGAAUUACUGGGCGUAAAGCGCACGCAGGCGGUCUGACAAGUCGGAUGUGAAAUCCCCGGGCUUAACCUGGGAACUGCAUUCGAAACUGGCAGGCUAGAGUCUUGUAGAGGGGGGUAGAAUUCCAGGUGUAGCGGUGAAAUGCGUAGAGAUCUGGAGGAAUACCGGUGGCGAAGGCGGCCCCCUGGACAAAGACUGACGCUCAGGUGCGAAAGCGUGGGGAGCAAACAGG